GACGAACGCUGGCGGCGUGCUUAACACAUGCAAGUCGAACGGAAAGGCCCUGCUUUUGUGGGGUGCUCGAGUGGCGAACGGGUGAGUAACACGUGAGUAACCUGCCCUUGCCUUUGGGAUAACCUCAGGAAACUGGGGCUAAUACCGGAUAGGAGCUCCUGCUGCAUGGUGGGGGUUGGAAAGUUUCGGCGGUUGGGGAUGGACUCGCGGCUUAUCAGCUUGUUGGUGGGGUAGUGGCUUACCAAGGCUUUGACGGGUAGCCUGCCUGAGAGGGUGACCGGCCACAUUGGGACUGGGAUACGGCCCGGACUCCUACGGGAGGCAGCAGUGGGGAAUAUUGCACAAUGGGCGGAAGCCUGAUGCAGCAACGCCGCGUGCGGGAUGACGGCCUUCGGGUUGUAAACCGCUUUCGCCUGUGACGAAGCGUGAGUGACGGUAAUGGGUAAAGAAGCACCGGCUAACUACGUG
rnacentral:rRNA from 1 species